rnacentral:lncRNA from 1 species
UGCAUUAUUUAUUUUCUUCUAUUUAUUUUUGAGUAAUUUUUUUGUAUAGUUCUUUUAUUUUCUGCAUUACUUAUUUUUGCAUAGUCCGAAACCCUGAUACUCGGAAAGAGUUUGUUCAGUUUGUACACGAAGUGCGUCCAGUUUUUGCCGUGACCCUCUCUACUCUUUCGCGCAUGCUAUGCGGGUGAUACGAUGAUACCAUGCCAAGUUUCAACAUUUUCAGGAUUCAUUUUGUAGUGAUUUUCAAUUUCACGGUCAUUUAGCUCUCUAAACAAUUAGGUAAAUGACCGAAAAACAACAAAUGAUGUCAGAACAUGUUGAAAAUUGAUGACGUCGCUUUAAAUGCUGCAUACUGAACACAAAAGAAGUCCGGAGUUCAAAUAAGUUUAAAAAACAUUGAAGUGGCCAUGUAACAGAUGAGUUCUCGUCCGAAACCCUGAUACUCGGAAAGAGUAGGUCCAGUUUGUACACGAAGUGCGUCCAGUUUUUGCCGUGACCCUCUCUACUCUUUCGCGCAUGCUAUGCGGGAGAUAUGAUGAUACCAUGCCAAGUUUCAACAUUUUCAGGAUUCAUUUUGGAGUGAUUUUCAAUUUCACGGUCAUUUAGCUCUCUAAACAAUUAGGUAAAUGACCAAAAAACAACAAAUGAUGUCAGAACAUGUUGGAUAUUGAUGACGUCGCUUUAAAUGCUGCAUACUGAACACAAAAGAAGUCCGGAGUUCAAAUAAGUUUAAAACACAUUGAAGUGGCCAUGUAACAGAGGUGCAAUGCUGGUUAAUUUGCUUCAAGCCAUUCGGAAUAGUGUAGACUGCACUGCACAUAGCUCAGUGCAAUCUAUGCUAUUCCGCAAGGCUUGAAGCUAAUCAACAUGUAGAAGAUCAUCUUGAGCUUGUGUCCCCUUGAAGGAAGUAGGAUACUUCUCUUGUUGAGGAACAAACUUUGUCUUGGGGUAUUGAUCUUCUUCCCACUCAACUCCAUUGGCAUUGAACUUUCGUUCAAAACCAACACCUUGAUUCUUCCCUUCAAUAAGCUAUUUUCUUGCUCAAGUGUAACUUGGCUAAGAGAAUCAUUAGUGGAAUCAAGAGAACUACUAGAAGCAACAAUGUUAGAUCUUAUGUCACAAAAAAGAAGUUGUAUCAAACCUUUUAUGUCGGAUCUAGAACAAACCAAUCGGUAUCGCCAUCAUACAGCCCUACCGUGGCUCGUGAUGCAUAUAUAUGCAUUUCAAAUGCACGGUUGGGCGUAUGAUGGCGAAUCUGAAUGAUUUAUAUUCAGUCGAUGAACUGGUAGAAGUAUGCAGUCGAUGAACUGGUAGAUGUAUGUACUCGAUGAACUGAAAGACUUAUGCAGGGAAGGCGAGAGAUGGGCUAUAUAUAGGGUUGUCUGGCUCACAAAGUGAUUGCGGUAGUUUCGAUCCAACGACUCACAUGAGCUAGGAAGAAACACACCCUUGAUCCAACGACUCGCAAGAGCUAGAAAGAAACACACGAUCCGUGUGAUUCUUCCUGAUUGGUGGGAUGCACAUUAGUAUCGGUUCGUGCCACGAACCGGUGCUAAAGAUUGGCAACGAACCAGUACUAAUGGUAGCAGCCCGCCUAGCCGUUGGAAUCGGCACUAAUGGUCACAUUCGUGCCGGCUCAAAUUCAAACCGGCACUAUAAUGUGCUUCACAUUUGACCGUUUUUCUACUAGUCAAUAGAGUUUGCCAAACUUGAGUUUCCCAAGUCACUUACACAAAAAGCUAUGAUUCAUGGUUGUCAAAUCCAUAAUUUCCAAACCACAACAACCUUGAGGCAUAACAAGCUUUAAAUGUUGCAUACUGAACACAAAAGAAGUCCGGAGUUUAAAUAAGUUAUUAAAAAUAAAAAAGAGGUGCAAUGUUGGUUAAUUUGCUUCAAACCAUUCGGAAUAGUGUAGAUUGCACUAAGCCACUGCACAUAGCUUAGUGCAAUCUAUGCUAUUCCGCAAGGCUUGAAGCAGAUCAACAUGUAGGUGAGCAUUGCAACUCUUCGUCAUUGUCUGUGCACUCACGGCUUAUAAACCGCUCAUACUGCCUCUCUCUUGGCGAGGUGGGACUAAAAACAGCUUGCCGUAACCGGCACCGCUCAUUAGUACCGGUUCGUGGUACGAACCGGCACUAAAUGGUGAUGGUGGGGCCAUAGCCUGACCGCAGGAUGACACAGCAUUUUUAGUACCGGUUCAUGCCACGAACCGGUACUAAAGGUUCGCCACGAACCGGUACUAUUGAUCGUCGCCACGAACCGGCACUAAUGUGCACAUUAGUGCCGGCUCAAAUACAAACCGGCACUAAUGUGCUUCACGUUUGACCCUUUUUCUACUAGUGUGAGUAACCUAAAUGAUUGUGAAAAAAUUAAAAAAAAUGGUGUGCCUAGGGCUCGAACCCAGGACCUAUUGUUACAAUCGUUGAGAACAAUGCCAGUAGAGUAAUAGUAGUGAUUUGUUAGGUUGUAGAUAAUCCAGGUUUUUAUCUGAACAUUGCUGCUUUCAGUUAGUACUACUGCUGUGAACAUUGUUGUUUUUAUCUGAAAUUCAGGUUUAAAAAAUAUCUUCAAAAAUAGGUGCUGGGUUAACAAAAUCAUGAUAUAUUUUGGAGUGAAUACUGCUGCUGUGAACUAAAAAUAAUUUUCCCAAAAAAAUGUUUGUCCUGGGGAUCGAGCCCAGGACCCUGUGUGUGAUAGGCUGAGCUCCAUGCCAACGCGCUAGUAAUAGUGAUCUGCUAGAUACUAAUUGCCACGUUUAUUAUAGUGAGAUAAACUGUACAUGCUGGUCAGAGCGGUGCCGUUCGCUCUUCCAUCUCUAUUAAGAGGCCACCACCCACCACCCACCGCCCCCACUCACCACUACCGUUUCACGACGCCUCGGGCUCUACGCGCCCCACCUCCCACUCCACCUAAGAAGAAAACCCUCGCCGGCCAUCUCGACGCCGCCGCUGACGCCAUGGACAGCCACCCUGCAUGGCAGAGGAUGGUCGACGAGCUGGCAGGAGACGACCAGGUCGCGCGCGGAGCUCCAGGAGAUAGGCCGGUGGUUCCUCAACAUCGACAUGCUUAGGAACCACGCGCGGGGCCUCAUCGAGCAGAUGACCGACGACGAGAAGAGGCGCGCUCUCGUGGACGGCCCAGGUACGCAUCCGGCCAACAUCUUCCGCUUCGCAAUGGCGGAGACGCGCUCCGACAAUCCGAGGCAGCGCUGGCGUUGGUGGAUGUAUAGGUCCGCCACCAUGCAGCAGCCGCAGUCGGAUCCGACGCGCAUGUGGUCGAGGAUGCAGCGCGUCCACGAUGUGGUUCUGGCCCUGCCUGCGCCGGUGCCCCUCGUGCACGUCGACGACAACGACGUCUCUCUGUCGUCCGACUCGGAGUACUGCAAGGUGGACUCCGACAACGACUCGGGCUACAGAGGGGAUUCUGACUCCUCUGCGUCGUAUGCCUCGUCUGGCGAUGAGGAGGUGUCCGUCGUUGUCCUGUAGGACGACGAGGAAGAGGAGGAAGAGGACGAGAUCCAGAUGAUGGCGCCAGUCCACAACGCCAAUGAGGGCGACAGAGACCUCCCAAUUGACGUGGAGGUGCUCCCAGAUGUGACAGACAUCGUCAAGCAGGAGGUGAUGGAUGAGGCAGAAGAGGAGAAGGUGGCAACGGCACCACAGAAGCUGGAGAAGACGAAGAAAAGGCCAUUUGCAGGGGAGGUGCGCCGCUCGGAGCGCCUGAAGCACCUGAACAACUGAACUGAAGAUGAUGGACAAGAAGAUGAUGCAGUAGUUAGGUAUGCUGACUAGCAAGAAAAUUCAGCAUAUAAGUUAGUGAUAUUUUGGUUAGUUUAUGUUAGGUGUGCUCUAUAUAUGCAGAGCACAUAAGUUAAUUGUAAUGUUGCACUUCUGCUAUAUUGUUUGAACAAUCCUGCAAUGUUUAGGACAUCUGCAUGCUAUCUAUAUAGUAAAUCUGCUUUGCUAUGCCUAUCUUGUUAUCAUGCUUUGAUUUGCUGGUGCUGCUGCUGUUACAAAUGCUCUGUUAUAAUGUGGUCUGUAGCUACAACUUUGCAAAGAAAGAAUGCAACAGUUAUGUAGGGCAUUCUGUUGUUGCUUUGCAAUGUUGUUGUUGCUGCUGCUGCUGCUUUGCAAUGUUGCUGCUGCUUUGCAAUGUUGCUUUGCAAUGCAACAGUUAACUGAAGAUAUAGAUAACUGAAUUUGUAGUUAACUAAUGAUUUCUCAUUAAAAUUCAGUUAAGUUGUGAUCUUCAGAUAACUCAAUUUGUAGUUAACUAAAGAUUUCUCAGUAAAAUUCAGUUAACUAAAUUCUUCAGAUAACUGAAUUUGUGGUUAACUGAAGAUUUAUCAUUUAAAUCCAGUUAACUGAAUCUUUAGAUAAUUCAAUUUGUGUUUAACUGAAGAUUUCUCAUUUAAAUCCAGUUAACUGAAUCUUCAGAUAACUCAAUUUGUGUUUAACUGAAGAUAUAUCAUGUACAUCCAGUUAACUGAAUCUUCAGAAAACUCAAUUUGUGUUUAACUAAAGAUAUAUCAUUUACAUUCAGUUAACUGAAUCUUCAGAUAAGUGAACUUCAGUUAACUACAAACUAAGUUAAUUGACACUGUAAAAAUUGCACUUAUCUGGAGACAUUCAGAUAACUAGUAACAAUAAAAGCAGUCAUACAGAUUUAGUUAACUAAAAGCAUUCAUACAAAUUAAGUGCAUUACAUAAUACUGGCAUUAAACCAACAAAUUCAAUACAACUAAUUAAUAGAUCUUCUUGAAUGAAUUACUCAAAUUCAUCUAAGAUCUCCUUCACCCUCCUUAUCUUGCUCUUGGUCUCCUCCUUGUGCCUGAAUAGAUCACCAAUCAUGUACUCUAGUUGCUUCUUCUCCUUCUUCAACUCAUCCCUCUGUGACACCACUUUGUCCAACUCUUCCUUCAUGCUGUCCAUCUGUUUCUUCAUCUCAUCCCUCUCUUUCUCUGCCUUAGCCCUCACAACCUGAUGAAUGCUAGUGGUAGAUUUAUCAGACAUCUUUUUCUUCUCAAGCUCUUCCUUUAGGUCAGAAAGAGCAAGUCUUGCAUUGCCCAAUUCAAUAAUUGCCUGCUCCUUGUCACCCACCAUCUUAGCAAAAUCUAGCUUAAAAAACCUCAGAUCAUUUUCCAUCUUUUCCUUCUCUUUCAGAACCCUAAAAUUUUCUUCAGCAAGAACUACACUUUCCCUGAGCCUUAGCUUGUUCUCAUCAUCAUACAUGCCCCAAACCCUAGCUAAACUCAUCUUCAGAGUGGCAGGCCAUUCAGGGUCAAUCCACUCCACAAAGUUGCAUUUAGGAAUUUCCUACCAAAUAAGAAAAGAAUACAACUUUAGAUAAAAAAAGAUGUUAACUGAAAAGUUCAGUUAACAUACUGCAGUUUUCUUCAGGCAACUGAAUUUGGAUAUAGCUGCAAUUAUCUUCAGUCAAAUGAAAAAUUAAGUUAACUAACUACAGAUUUCUUCUGUUAACUAUAUUGCUGCACUCUUAUACAGAUCAAAGUGACAUGACACAUUCCAAUAACUAUAAAUCUACUAACCUUCCGUGCACAAGCAAGAUACCUUCUACCACUGUCAACAGAUUCAAAGGACACAAACUUCUCACAGACGCAUUGGUGUUCACAUCUAACUGAGAGAUCUGGAGCAAGGCCACUCCACUCUGAGCAGAAGAUAGUGGCAGCAGCAGGAGCCUACAACACAUUCUUGUCAGCACAACAUUGACCAUUUCUUAGCAGUAGGAUCCCUAACCCUAACUGGAGGUGGACGAACUAACCUCACUUGUCACAGAGUAGCCUUCCAACGACGAGCUGGAUCCUUCACUCCAAGAAACCAUGGCCGCGAGCUGCAAGGCGGUGUCGAGAUGGACGGCGGCGGCGAUCUGGAGCAGACGAGCUGAAGAAGAAGAAGCAGAUAGGCGAGUGGAUAGGAGAGAGCCGACAGGAUAGGAUAUGCCAAAGGAAUAUACCCUUGAGCCGACAAAUUAACUCAGGUGAAGUACUGCGGGUUGAUAAGGCAAGAAGGCAGGGGGCUAUGUGAAAAAUGCAGCGCGCUGACCAGCCAGGCCACUUGGCAUCCACUUGGCGAGCUGUGAGUGACUGUGGACUAAAUUUGCACAUCCAUUGCAAGUUGAGCGAUGAAAUAAUCAGCUUUUUCAAGUACAAGGACUAAAGCAUCACCUGACAUGCAAGUUCAGGACCUGGGAUGCUAUUACCUCCCCAACGAGGUGUAGAGGCAAAACAGAGAGGACCUUGCUAUGCUUGGUGGGUCGUGGGGUCGUGGCUGUGAACAGAGGUAUUCUGUGAUGAGGAACUAUCGACUUUCUGUCUGCUGUUCAUCUGUGCGCCGUUGGCAUCUGUACUAUCAAUGAUCACGGCAAUGAAAUGUGGUGCGGAACUGGCGCAGAAGACCAUGGCAUCUGGCGGUUAGGCCACUGCCCGGACCAAAAUAAUGGUUGGCUCAACCAUAGCUGCACAAAAGAGUGCGUGCCUGGGAGCUUGAACAAAGCCCCAUGUCGUGACACGCGCAAAAGGACGGGUCCACUUAGGCAACCCCAACUCGGAACACUGCAAUAGCACGACAGGCCAACCAACCUCCAAAGCCGCCUCCAAAAGGCUAUUUUAUGGCUUAUAUUCUUGUUUCCAUUUGUUCAUUCACAUCUAAUCAUUUACACCAUUCCCGUAUAUAUUCUUAUCCAUGCUAAUGGCCUUUGGAGAUUAUUUACAGAACAAACAUCUGUUCGACGUGUUGUCUGUAGUAUUGUUUUACUUCUUGGCUGCAGUGUCAGAGAUAUAUAGUUUCCUUACCUUCUGGUCUGCAGUUGGUCUCUGCGUCAAUUUAGUCAUUUCACCUUCUUGGUCGUCCUUUCGGAAUGAUUCACUAAAGGAGUGUCUACUAUAUGUGCCAUCAAAAGUAAGUCGGCAAAGAAAGUUAUGGAUAAUGAUCAUCGUCAAGGCAAAUGAGGGAGCAGUAUGAUCAUAAUCAUUUGCAGACACUUGAAGAAAAAAUCUUUCAAACAGUCCAUUUAACUUCCAGCAUGUAGUUUGUCUCUACAUCAAUUGACGCAGCGAGUCGUCUACUAAAAUUAAUAGAGCAACGAACUAGGGUCUGAUCUUCAGUGAGGUAGUGACGUACCAGCCACCACGCGUCCAAUGCAGAUCCUCUUUAAAAAAAUAAGUAAUGCAUGUAUCGAGAGGAAAAGUUGUAAUAAUCACCUAACAAGUUCACGUAUAUAAGCUAGCCCGGUCCAUGUCCACACCCACUCGUACCUCCAUCAAGUCAUUGCAGCCGAGAGCUGACUCAUUUGGAGCUCCCUCCCUCCACGUCAUAGAGAAGUUCCGAGACACUGCCCUCCACUGCAGGAUUAUGUAUGCUCCUCUCUCUCUCUCUCUCUCUCUCUCUCUCUCUCUNNNNNNNNNNUUCAAAUAAGUUUAAAAAACAUUGAAGUGGCCAUGUAACAGAUGAGUUCUCGUCCGAAACCCUGAUACUCGGAAAGAGUAGGUCCAGUUUGUACACGAAGUGCGUCCAGUUUUUGCCGUGACCCUCUCUACUCUUUCGCGCAUGCUAUGCGGGUGAUAUGAUGAUACCAUGCCAAGUUUCAACAUUUUCAGGAUUCAUUUUGUAGUGAUUUUCAAUUUCACGGUCAUUUAGCUCUCUAAACAAAUUAGCUAGGUAAAUGACCGAAAAACAACAAAUGAUGUCAGAACAUGUUGGAUAUUGAUGACGUCGCUUUAAAUGCUGCAUACUGAACACAAAAGAAGUCCGGAGUUCAAAUAAGUUUAAAAAAAUUGAAGUGUGGCCAUGUAACAGAGUUCACAUUUGACCGUUUUUCUACUAGUCAAUAGAGUUUGCCGAACUUGAGUUUCCCAAGUCACUUACAUAAAAAGCUAUGAUUCAUGGUUGUCAAAUCCAUAAUUUCCAAACCACAACAACCUUGAGGCAUAACAAGCUUUAAAUGCUGCAUACUGAACACAAAAGAAGUCCGGAGUUUAAAUAAGUUAUUAAAAAUAAAAAAGAGGUGCA